ensembl:lncRNA
UUACUGUUAGUUUUAUUGUUGCAUUUUGUUGUUGUUGUUAUGGUUUGGUGUUGGUUUUGUUGUGUAUCAUCUGCUGCCAGUAUUGUUGGUAUUGUCUGCUCGCGAUGUAAGGCCGGGGUGGAUGCCACCCCCUAGGUGGGGUGUGUAUGGCAUACCCAUGUCUGAAGCAGGGGUAGCGUUUCUCCCACGUGGUUCCCCAUACACCCGGUCCAGCGACCUGGGAUGAAAACAGCUCGCUGGACCGGGUGUAUGGGGAACCACUUGGGAGAAACGCCACCCAUGCUUCAGGCAUGGGCAUGCCAUACACACCCCACCUAGGGGGUGGCAUCCACCCCGGCCCUACAUUGCGAGCAAACAAUACCAACAAUAAUAGUAGCAGAUAAUACACAAAACAUACCAUAAACAUACAAUAAUACAAAAAACAAACACCAAAAAACAACAACCAACAACAAAGCUGGCCACAUAACAAAACCAACACCAAACCAUAACAAUAACAACAAAAUGCAACAAUAAAACAAACUCCAAACAUAACAACAAAAUGCAACAAUAAAACGAACAGUAAACAAUAACAAUAUAAAAAUGCAACAAUAAAACGAACAGUAAACAAUAACAAUAUAAAAAUGCAACAAUCACACAAAUACUACACUAACGAUCACAGGAAAGAAAUGUAACCACGAAACGUGUCCCUAAAUAAUAGCGAAGAUAUGAGGCGGAUAACGAAUGGCAAUCCCCCUCAACCCAUCCCUAGAGGACCACACACUAAGGAUGUGAGGAGGAGUUGACUGGUCGUGUUACAACAAGCAAUCACACGCAUGGGGCAUCCAGGGUAGGCUCGGGGCACGGGAACAACUGAAACCAUGGAAUAGUCCUGAGCGUCAUCAUGGGCAGGUGGUCGCAAGGCGCCACCUGAGCAUUAGACCCUUUUAUUCAACUGCGCUCAGGACCUCAUCUGAUAAACGGGCAAUCAAGGCCCCUGGAAUCUCGCCCGUGUGUAUCCCCGAGCUCCAUCUAGUGGGACAGCGAUAUAAACAACAACAUUUACGUUCCC